AUGGACGCCCAGAAGGACGUGCAACCCCCAAAACAGCAACCAAUGAUAUACAUCUGUGGAGAGUGUCACACAGAAAAUGAAAUAAAAUCCAGGGAUCCAAUCAGAUGCCGCGAAUGUGGAUAUAGAAUAAUGUACAAGAAAAGGACUAAAAGAUUGGUGGUUUUUGAUGCUCG